GGUGGUGCCAAGGUUCUUCCAUCUUUGGGGAUGCCUGGCUAUGUGUCACGCUGACUUUGGGGGGGGUGCAUGAAAGGGAUAAGGGCAGAGAGGGGACAUGUUAUUUUGGCAUUAACUAACCCUUUCUUGGAAACAGACUGAGCCUGGGAGACCCGCUGCUCCUCUGUGUUUUGCAGCCGUGGCUUCUGCAACACCAGUUGUAGUUGAAGAGGGCUCCACAUCUGCUGUUCAACACAAGAGAUUGCAAUGCCUGGUUCCAAUUGGGAAGGGUUUGGUGGAAGGAGCUCCAUUUCCUUUCCCUCUAAGAUCCACCAGUUGUAAGCACCAGGGAAUGUUAAGCAUGUCACAAAGUCUCUGCUGGCCAAGGGCGCAGCUAGAAUCAUAGAAUGGUUGGGUUGCAAUAAGCCCCAAAGCCCACCCAGCCCCAACUCCUGCCGUAGGCUGCCUAUCAGAUCAGGCUGCCUGCGGCCCCAUCCAUGGCUUUGGAUACCUUCAAGGAUGGAAGACCCAGGCAGCCUAUUCCAGCACCUCACUGCCCUAUACAAAAUGAUCUAGUGGCACAAAACCAGGGUACGUUCUAUAUUGCAUCUCUCUUGCAAAGCCCUGGAGUGCAGGAGGAGAUGGGCCAGCCAAAAUGCCUAACGGUCCCCAUGACAGGUCCAAGAUGCUAUUGGGAUGUGUUGUAGGUGUUUCUUGGUAGGGUGUAGAUCCAGCCACCGUUGGCUGGGAAAUUUCUUUUCCCUUUUCCUUGAAAAUAUAAAGAGGAGCAAAGGACUCUAAGCAGUACCACACAAGUGCAGCUCUUGGGGUGCAGGGUUUUCUGCCUGCCCUUCUCCCAGUUCCCACCCUGCUGUCGUCUCCUCCCUCCUCCUAGGAUUCCCCUCCUGAAGCCUCACCCUGCUGUGGCACCUACUGUCAAACGCUUCACACGUUUGUCACCAAAAUGUUUUGGCAGCAGCAACAUCUCUAGGUUUUGACAUAAUCCCGACAGGAGACUUUCUCAAUUAUUACUAAUGGAACAUUAUGCUCCUCUUUGGGAACUCCUGCAUGAAUAAAAAGGGUCAUUAAUGACAUCUGCGCAGAGCCCGGAAAUUAUUAGUCAAUGCUGAUACAGUUUGAUUUUAUUUUUUAAUUUUUACGUAUAUAUUUUCUUAAGCUCCUGGUAAUUUCCCACCUUGCCUCCCACCCUCUUCUCCAAAGCCUCCCAUGCAAACCAGAGCUGAGUUGCGUUACUGCCAACAUUCUUGCUUUGUUCAGGUAAAUGCAGCUCCCCUCCCACCCCUCUUCCCUUUUAUUCCCUCUUGGUUUCUCUAAAGAUUGUAGCUCUCGUUUUGCUCCCAGGAGAUCUCGUCACACCUUCCUCUGGGCUUCAUUUUACUGUCAGUGCAGCUCAGACAGUCCUUGGGCCCGGAGAGCCCAACAUUGCCUGCUUCUCCUGGCUCCAUGCUGGGUUAUCAGUGCACCCAGCCCCGCUGCCCUCUCAGACUUUGACACUCAGUGGGAUUGGAGGUCCCCACACAAAACAGAAGCUCAACCUGGACCAUUUUCAAGGAUUUUCUACAUUGCAAACUGUUGUUUUUCCUGUCUUUCUGCCAAGUAUUCAGUUCUCUCUACUCAAUAACCCUAAAAAUGACCCCUGACAUAUAUUCUUUUCCCCCUCUCUAGAAUAAUGCAGCAAUUGGAGAAAAUGCUAUUUUGCAAGCAGCUGUUCCUGCGUGCGAGCAUCCCAGACAUGAGCUGCGCCUUCCCAGGCACUUCCUUUUGCCCACCAGAGCAUGGGCUCCAUGGCACGUCACUUCCUAAAGAGUGGGAAGAUCUGAAGGAAGGGAAGGGCCGACCUUCAGGUACACAGAUCAUCCCCUGACCUCAUCACCCCCUGACUUCCCUUAUGAGCCAUAGGUGGGAGUGCUGAGAGCAAAACCCGGGUCUCACCUCCAAGGAGUCACGGCGUCUUCCCCAUGGCCCCACCGGGGUGGGUAGGAGCUGUGGCUGUUCCCCAUGGGAUGUCUGUGCCCACGACAGAGCUGCUGCGUGGCCCUGGUGAAGGUCAAGCAGGGAUCACUGGCUGCAGUUCAAACCUGGCACCAGGGCUAAAAGGUUGACGCAGUAACUCUGAAAACUGCUAAACAAGAAAUAGACUCCUUUACAAGGAAAAAAAAAAAAAAAAAAGUACCCUGGGAGAAGAGAUAUUUCAACCCCUUCUUGAUUUAUGACCUACUAUAGGAUAUUGAGACAUUAUUUACAAUCGAUAUAUGCUCCUGCAGGACUCCCGCCGGAGCCAUAGACCCUGCCUGUUAGAGGCAGACCGGUCAGCUCGCGCCUCCGGAGCGCGGCCGUGUCCUGUUGGAGCGAGCAAGGAGCCCCACGCCGCCGUAUAUCUCUCAGAAAACGGACCUGGUUACACGUGUCUUUGGGCAGCUGACAAGGGGAUGUAGUUUAGGGCUAAGACAGCAGUUCGGUGACAGAAAUCAGCGUUCUUCAGCCUCGCCAAUAAUGAAAUCUCUCGCACAACACACCGAGAGCUCCGCAGCCUUAUAGGUGCAAAAUGGAGUUGUUCCGUUGGCUUGGAAUGGAGUCAGGCCAAUUUUGAAGCAAGCGCUGGAUUUUAUUCUGGGAUUUUAUCUUUAAAGGGGGAUUUGCAAACACUUGAAGGAGAGGAGGGGGGAAGUUCAUUCAGCGUAAAAUUGCGUCCUGGCCGAAUUCCAGUUUGGGUAAUUACAUUCUCUUUCUGUAGUGGCUGCAGGACAAAGGGCCAUUCAUCACGCUCCAAACUGCUGCAAAGGGCUCCCGUGCUCCUCUGCAGAAGGGGUUGAAACUUUUCUCCCCGUGGUUGAGGCCACUCCAGAGAGUAAUGGAGCUUGGCAGGGUUUUAGGAUGCUUUUGGGUGAGAUAUAGGGGCAAGCGCGCCGUCACGCGCCGCUCGGCCUGCAGCAAAUCUGGGUAAGUAGGGCGCUCGGAAAUAGGCUUGUGCUCGCCCCGAGGACACGCUUUGCUUUGCAAAGUGCCUCCGGAGCUCCAUGGGCACUCAAGGGAGCUGGAUUCCCUCUCUGCCAGCCUGCCCUUUGGAAAUGCCUCCGGGCUGGAGGUUGGGAGCUGAGUGGGUUACAAGGACUUGGGGCUCGUUUGGAAGCGGAGCAGGUCCUCUGUCCUUCUCGUCCUUUAUCUCCCUGGUAAAGUCCAGCUUGGUGAGACCCAGUGAGGCUCCGGGCUCCUCCCUCCAUGGGGAGGCUGUGUCCUGUGGGGCCGUGGGGCAGGAGCAUGUCCACGGGCUGUGUGCCUCGAGAGUGUCCCUUUGAAGCAAUUUGUAGACUGUUAUCCUGUAUCAUUAACCUAAUUAGUGUAAUUGCCGCCAUUUAUGUAAUGAGUAUAAAUACUGGAGGAAUCCCAUAAUUAGAAGAUGUAAUUAGGUAAUUAAUAGAUGACAUGGUAACAAAAAUCCAGGGGAAACUUUGCUAGGUGGACAAUGUGCGUGCAUGCACGCGGCUGCUCAGGCACGCCAGCCCCUACUGCAGGCGUGCUAUGGGGCUGGAGUCCUCUGCAUGGCUCUGGACACGUCAAGGGCCCUCCAGGAACAAGGAGAAGGCUCUUGUACACCUCCACCAGCCCUGCACAGAGCCAGCUUUGGUCAGAGGAAAGGGCAGACCAGCAGACAUCGCCUUGACAUCCUUUGCUUUUCGGGUCUGUGGGAAAGCGAGGUGAAGUGAAGAGCUCUGCGACUGGCUGAGGAAGUUUCUGCUCUGCGUGGAGAGCAUUUUUUGGAGAGGUUCCUGAACUGUGAAUGUUUUAGCUGGACCCUUGCUCGUUGUUGAAACACGGAAUUUUUCCUGCUGUUCUUUCUCUUGCUCCUGUUCGUGUUUCCAGAGUGUUUGCACACAGAGAUGCACAUGAAGAAAACACGUUAAGGAAAAGUUUCCGUGCUGUUGCUGAGGAUGGUUGGAUUUCAGUUUGCACCUGCCAGGAGUCAUUCCCUCCUGGCCUCCCACCUCCCUGUAGGAGCAUCUCCUCUCCAAGAGCAGUGCUAUACCUCACUCCAUUGCCAUAGGAGGUGACUCCAGGGCCCGUAACACUGCAAGAGGGUUCCCAGGAGCCAGAGGGCAACCUGUGCAGGUGUCGGGUGGCCAGAGGCUGCCGAGUCCCCAGGACCAGCAGCUAGAGGGAGAUAUGACCUCACUCUCAGGGCCAGCCUCCUCCUGCUGCUGCUGCCUGUUGGAAUGCCAAAGCAAAUCCACUCGCUUUCCAGUGUUUAGGGUCCAUGUAAUGAAUAACCAUAAUGCAGGCUUCAUUAUGUGGAAUAAGUAAUUCUCGAGAUUAAAGACUUUGAAAAUGGCUCUUGCUGGAGUUUCUGCCAAAGCGUUUUUUAGUCCCUGUCUCCAUGGGGAAGUUUUAUCAGGUGUAUCAUGAUCUGUAUGCAGGGGUCCAGUUACACCAGGAAGACUCUGUCUAGACACUUUAAUUCCAGCACAAAAAGGGCUUUUUUCCCCUUAGCUUAAAUUCAUUUGCAAACAGCCUUCACAACAUCGGUGCUGCUUGAUCAGUGUCAGAAUCUCCCAGAGCAGAGCACGACGUUUUGAUGUUGAAUCCCCUCCCAAACACCGCUCUGCUCCCAUCACGGCCCUGGCUCAGAAGGUGGAGGUGACACAGAGAGCUCUCAGUCCCAGAGUUUUAUUCUGAGGCUCCCCCGGCUCUCACCUGAGUCCUGCCAGGUAUCCUCUCUUGUAUUUCUUCAUUUCCAGAUGUGUCUUCCUUUGCUAAUUUCUCUUGCGACUCAUCUUUUUCCCUUUGCAAUCCUGAUGCUAAGUGUGAAUACCCUUUUCCUCUUACGGCUCAAAGCCUUGCUUGAAGGGUUGUUCCACCUGCCUGUCUAAUUAAAAGAAAAAAUCUGAAAUCUCCUCCCUGUUCAAGUCUUCAGUCAUGUUGUGCAUGUCAAUAGCGUCCUAGUUCUGCCCUAGUUUUUGUGCGUUUUCCCUGUGAAUUUCAAUAUCCAGGAUCAGUACGAAGUUAUUUUCUUUGCCAAAACUAUAGAUAAAUGAGUGUCAGAAGAAUGCCCAGGAGAGGGUGGGAGCUUGGGUAUAAGGAGCAGCCCAGUUUGGCCAGUUUGGAGCAGCCAUAGAGCAAUGGCUGACACUGGAGGAGGGAGCGAGGCUUCAGCUGGUAGUAGUUAAUUAUGUUCCUCUGUAAGCUUUAUUCUGCUGCAAAGCAAAAUGGAUCCAAGGACGUCGCACAGUUCAUGUUAGGCGAGAAGAUCACAGUGUUACACAUAUUUUUUCCUCCUAACUAUCUGUCUACAUGCUUACUGCAAGUCAGGUUGCCAAGAGUGUAACUGAAUAAUUACCCUGUGCUGCCUUAUGGUAACCUUUGCAAAAAGUGUUUAGAUCGAGGAACUGUGUGAACUACUCGUUAAUAUCUUAUAGGUCAGAGUUAAGGAGGUUGCAUUGUGAUGAAAUAUGUAUUUCUCCUUAUUUCUUAGGAAAAUGGGCUCCUGAGACAGAGGAAGAUUUAUGGUGAUCUUAAUUAGUUAUUUCCUAGCUUUCAAAAUGUUUGGGUUUCAGCGAUGAUAUGAUAGAUAAUUAACUUGUUGUCACACGGUGACUUUUAAAAUUAAAUGUUUGUUCUCCAUAAUAUGUAAUCUCAGUACGCAUCACACGUGUGCCACAGGACAUACACGCAGGUAUAGAGAGAGAGGAAUGUGUGCACAUGCAUCCCUGCAGUGCUCCCACCGUGGCACGAUGCUCACGCCUUAGAUGUUGAGCCCAGGGUGUAGCAACACCCUGCUGCUAAGAGGUGGGGUGUCGUGAUAUUUUCUGCUGAAAUAGUAAGGUCUAAAGGAAGGGAGCUGUAUCAUUCGGUGCUGCAUCCCUCGGGGAUGGCAGGGAUCUGGAGAGCAGCUGCAGGGAAGGCAGAAGGAAGGGCAGCACUGAGCCCAAAUGGAGGUGGGCCCUGUGCCCGUGGUGCCUUGUUGCUGCAGGGAGCAUGAUAUCAUUUUUUUCCUUUGUCUUCGGGGUUUUUCAUCAAAGCUUUAUAAAUAACAGACAAAACCCUCCCAGCCGGCCGCCUGUUGCAGAUCCUCCAGGAAACGGGAGGCGGAGGGAAGGAAGGCUAAAUUUGGUGGCUCUUAUUUUUAACAAGAGUUAUUUCAAUCCAUUUAAACCCACGCAAAAAAAAUGCAGAGCCAUGGGAAACUUUUGCUGGUGCCAGAGGAGCUUGGUAAGGUCUGCAACAUAGCCAAGGGCAUCAUGGGGAUGGGGAACUGGGAGCUGGAGUGAGAUGCUCAAGGCUUUGUACAAGCAAAGGCUGUCUUCAAGCAAAGCCAAGAAAUGAGCUUGCGUCCCUCAAAUUCCAGGCUUGAAAGCUGCUUUUAUUUUGCUUUAUGAAAAAUUCCAUGAUGAGCUUUUUCCUCCUGGCUGGACCUUGCAGGAGUUGGAGGCACAUCCAGCAGCUUGGCAGCAUCCAUCCAUGUCCCCUGGUACUUUUCUGAGAGUGAAGGUGUUAACCUUGGUGUCCUGGCCUCCCGUCACUAUAAGUAAUUACAUUGGGCCUCCAUAACCGAGUCCACUGCCCCCAGGUUGCACAGUGCCCAGCGUGCCCCAGCCCAGCACCACGGUGCAGGAGCUUGGGUGGUAACCAGGUAUGAGGGACACGGAGAACAUGCUCAUCCCAACACCGCCAUGUUUCCCGGUGCAGACUGCAAGCUGAAGCUGUUGAAUCAGGUUGGAUCCAGGACACAAGUGAGGCUGCAAAAGGUCUCAGCAGGAGGAGGCACGGAGCCAUGUUCCAGGUCACCUUGUCAUGGUCCUUGUCACAGGUUGGCUGCUUGGGCUUCAUUUCUGAGGCUGGGGACUGUGAGUCUGAGGACCACAGGGCCUCCAUUUUGGAGUCUGGUUGGCUGCUGAGCGGUGUGCAGACCUCAGGAACUGCUCUUUCGCAUUGCUCCUCUGUGUGUGGGAAAGGAUUUCAAGAAACUAUUGACCAAAUGAAACCUCCGUAAUGCUUCUAAAUACUCAAACACAUUAGACAUGCCUGCCCAGCUCAGAGAUAAAUUAGAGCUAUUAUCACUAGAGCCCAGACAAACAAACGGAGGGCUCUCUCCAAACAAGCCAUUCACUCAAGAGACUGGAUUUACAAGGGUCAGGGAAGCAGUGUGAGCUGCAGGCACCUGCUUUCUUCUGAAACCUCUUUAAAUUGGCCAUAUUGACUGGGGCAGAGGGAAGGGAGGGAGCACUGCUCUGCCCUUUGGGGUGUGGCGAUCCCAUCCAUGCGUGGCACCACAGUGUACUGCUGGCGUUCUGCUCUCUGUCUGCAAUUAAAAGCUGCAAAUCCAACUCUAAUCCAUUCUGCUUUUCUCCCAGAUGUGGAGAGGUUUGAGAACGUCAGGGAUGCCGAGGCUGUUUGCUCUGCUCUGCUCUUGGGUUUUUGCUUCUGCUUCUAUGGAGGGGUGGGAGCUGCGCUGGUGGUAAGGUGGCGAUGGGAGAGGUCAGAUCAAAUCAGCAUCUUGGGCAUCACUGAGACUGCCUGAAAGGGUAAACAGAAGCUGCAGUGUGUAUUUUGGGCUUGGUUUCAUGUGGAGGAGGGAGGAAGGAGCAGACACAAAGAAUAAAAGGAAGAAAAGAGAGCAUUAUUCUGCUGCCUCGAUGCAGGGAACCUGGUAGCACUGCUAGCCACAACGGCUGCAGGACUCAGCCCCCAGCACGGCUGGGUGUCUGCAGAUGGGCCGUGCUCAGUCCCAAACCCAGCCUUGGUGCAACCAAAGGGAGCUGCAGGCUCAGCAGCACCACGACCCCAACCGUGCGCUUGGCAUCAUCGCAUGGUGGCUGUGAUGGAGAGCACUGUUCUCCUCAGAGGGAUAUUCUUGAAGCCAAAAGCUUGGUCCUGAACCUGCAUCUCUUCUUGGAAGACAUCCAGUCUCUGUGUGCGACCUCUGGCUGGUGAUGAAUUUGCCAUUUCCCUUGGUAACCAGACCUGGUGAUUAACUACCCUCGCUGCUCAAAAUUGUCUUUUAUUUCCCAUUCAAGGUUCCCUCACUCAGUGUUGUCAGCUCCCGCUAUUUAUUUUGGGUUGUGCUGCUUACUGUGCCUUUUACCUGCGAGCCUAACGAUCAUGCCAGUCUCAGCUAUUUUCACUCUGUGGGUAUCUGGGCUCAAGUCACGACGAAGAUUUCCUCUGACUGCUGAGCAGACAGAGCCCUUUCAGCCUUUUGCAGGGUUGAGCACAGGCGAAGCAGGAGCUGUGCUUAUCACUGCCUCGAGCAUCUCCCAGCGCAUGGGAUUUUAUUUAAAGUCCCAGCCUCUGGACUCGCACCAUUACAAGGACUUGAUUUUGCAGAGGCAUCAAAGCAUCACUCAAAAGGCAAACAAAAAUCACCAUAUUCAGAGGGAUUUUUUCAAUUGCGUAAGGAAUUUUGUGAUGUUUUGGUUUAUUGGGAGUUAAAGGGCUGAGGGUGCUGGCUUAGUGACUAAUUAAUGAAGCUGCCAGCCCACUUGGGACAUCAUGGGGAUCAGGGGGUCUCCGGUUACAUGUAUGUGGGCAUCCUGCAGGAUCCAAAAUUCCUAUGGCUCUUCCAUCUGUACAUCUCCCUCUGCUGCAUUUGGGGAACACCAGGGUUUAGGCUUUACUCAUCUGCCAUUGCUUUGGCCACCUCACUGUCUCCUGGUGGUGGUAGAUGGUGGCCACCCCUACAUGGCCAGGACAUUCCCGGAGCUGGAACUGGUGACUGCACAGGCUUCAUGUGACAGAAAAGCUGCAAACAGAAGAACGUGGAAGGGAAAUGGUAGUAAGGUCUUGGAAAGAGUGGAAAAGGAUCUUCUGUGGACUGGCCUGGAGGUCAGAGGUUGGGGACAGUGGUGCCAGCAUAUGUGGGACAACUAACAGGUCCUCUGAAAUGAACCAAGAGUGUUUUGAAUCGGCACAGCAAGAUGCCUUCUUUAAAAAUAGUGAAGCAAAGUGUUCCAUCUUUCUUCUUCCUUCUCCUUGCAUUUCUUUCCAGGAAAAAAAUAAAUAAUAAUAAUAAUAAUAAUAAAAGACCUAUUAGUGAAGUUGGAUCUAGAGCAGCAACAGCUUUGGUUGCUGGCCCAAAGUGCUGAAGCCCCUGGUACCUGGGUGCUGAGGGUCAGGAGAGGCUGGGGGCUGCAAGGCUUUGAAAACUUUCCUUCUGUCAUAGGACGGAUAAGUUUGUGUUUAAUACCAGCAAGUUGAUGAAUUAAAGGACAAAGGAUCAAAUGAAUGUUCUUUUUUUUAAAAAAAGCUGGCUCAUCUUGGCUUGCAGUUACUGCAGGAGCAACUGAGAGCCAUUCACAUACUUUCUCUGCAAAAUUGGUAAUUUUUCCCUUUAUUGUAUCUGCCAUUGCCUACCUAUCCAGCACCUAGAAAAACGUCCUGAUCUUGUCCAGGGAGCAAUACCAGUGCCAAUUACCUGCACCUGGAGACCCCGUGGGUUUGGAGCUGAGCUCUGCGCUUCUGCUCAGCUCAGUGUCUGAGGAGGCAAUGGCCUGUGCUGCUGAAGUGUGGGCACGGGCUGCAACUCUAUCUCCAUGUACCGCGCUUCUUGGGUUGGGAGAAGCUUUCCUGGCAAACUGGAAAGGAAUCCAGCUGGGGAGCUGGUGUGAUAGGAGCUGACAGGGCUGGAAAUUUGAUUUCUGACUGUGCGUGCCUAUGUGUUUCUUGUGAAAGAAGAAGGAGAGAAAGCCAGGCAUACUUUGAAUCCUGCAAUCAUUAAAACCAAUUCCACUCUUCCUGCCCCUGCCCACCUCCUGAUAUGUGUGUGAAACAAUCUUUACAGCUACACAGCCAUCAGAUGGUAUCGACCCAGCGGUGGAAAUUGCUAUUGACUGCUGCUGGUGCUGCUCUCUGCACUUCCGUGGCUUUUAAAGCGACACUAUCCAGGUGAUUUCAUUUUGCCUAUGAUAAAGCCUGGGAAGCCGAGCCUCAAACAGACCAGAAUGGGGAUGUGUGUGAUGUGUGUGAGCAACAGAACACUGCUCACUGCUGCACAGACAGGGGAAGGGUGUUAGAGCCAGUGGGAGAAACGCUGACUCCAGAAACGCUCGCCUAAAGGGGAGGUUCAGGAGUGUGCUUCCCAUCUUUACUCCAGGAGGAAUGGAUUCCUGCAUCCAGCUGCAGAUUUUCCAUUUCAGCUCUGCUGCUUAAAAAUCUGCUGCAAUUCCAGCAUCAAACCAAGACUAGCCCACUUCACUCGUGAAGGAUCCAUCCAGUACUAGAGAGAUUGAGGGAUUGGGUACAUUGAUUUCUUGUUUUAAGGGACCCCUCUGAUUCUGCAUUAUGAAUUCUCUCUCAUCUGCACUAGGUUUCAAAGGAAAAAGCAGGACAUAAUAAUGUUUGCCUUUUAGCACGAGUGGUUUGUGCAGCCUAAAGAAGUCCUUUCAUCAUGAGGCAUGAGAACAGGACUCCAGAUCAGAACUGUAAAAAUGUGCAUUUUGUUUCCUCUGAGGCAAUUUAAUUGAUGGCAUUUGGUUAAUCCAGCACUUGGAGCUAAGUGUGGUGGGAGGGGAGAUGGUAUAAAAGCUAAGGCUGGAGUCUGAUUCCAGCAGCACAGAGUAAAUGUGUAACACCAUUCUUGUGUCACCAGUAUCACCUGAGCUUCUAGAAUAUAAAAAGCCCUGAGACUGAAUGGAGUCAGCCCAACCAAUGGAGGUGCAAUGGGGAGUAUGAAAAUAGCCCAAGCAAGCUUUGGUAAAUGGUUGUGGUCAUGGAAUAAAGAAGAGUGCUACUUGCAACCACAGCCUACGGAUACCUGGCUCCAGACCUGGCUAAUUUUCCAUCCUUCCCCUACCAGCAGAGUUGGAGGUGCUGUUAUGGAAGGAAGGGAUGUUGUUCGUUCUCAUAAAACUCUGUGUUUGCUCUUCCUCCUUGUGCCUUUGACUUCAUCCACACGGCAGUGCUCAGGAGCAGCAGCUGGCAAGAUGUAUCCAGGAGCACGUCUCCUUUCUUGUGAGCUGGAAGUGACAGCCUCAAGCUUCUGAGACCCCAGCUCAAAUGCAAGUAACCAGUGCUCCAGCCCCUAACUGAGACUUGCUUUCAGACCCACCAGUGUCUUUCUCUCUGCCCUAAUUCUUGUAUUGCUCCAGAAAUAAACUGUUCCACUGGGGAAAGAACAAUUAGCUGGAGAAAGGAGCUGAGCAGUCUGGAAUGUCGAAGGAGUUUCAGUUCUUUCAUUCAAGGCCAGGCUCAACCUGCCUAAGUCUUUCUGGGGGGAGAUACGAUAUGUGAUUUGACAGCAGUUCUAGAAGUGAGAGGCAAGUGGCUUUGACACCUCUGUAUGACCUGGGAGCUACAGGGAAGCAGCGGUGACAUGUUCUGGGAAGACAAGGUCGUCGGCAAGGGUGGUGUGAGCAUCUUUGGUCCGGCUGACUGUACAGGAAUCCAAACAACUAGGAGGAAUUCACGAGAAUUAAAGGGAAAUAUCUUCGAUUUGGCUUGCUGUGUGUUUGUAACGUGGUGCUUCCCAGGGUGGUGUGCAAUACAGCAAGGUUACCGGCAAAGCAAAAACAGCAGUGAAAAUGGAUGUCCAGUUGUGAAACCUAUCUGUCCUGCAACCUUCAGGGCCUGCCAAGGGACAUGUUCCAUGGGCUGUGAAGAACCAAUAUGGGACAUGACCAUAUAUCAGUGAUUAUAUCGAUCACUGUCUCAGACCCGCUCAGUCAAGGGCACCGGCACCUUUGCAGGGGAAGUUUUGCUCCUGCUCUGUGAGUCAGGGGAGUGCACUGAAUAUGUGGCAGUGGCUGCCUGAGAGGGGAAAUGACCCCAUUUUAGGGAAUGCUGUGCCUGUGCUCCAAACAAUUAGUAGAAUGGAGCUGAGUAAAGUACAGGAGGGACCGGACUGAUAAUAAGCAAAGUGCUGAAAUAUGGGAAGUUGGGGAAGAAGCCAAAUGAAAAUGAAAUGAAAGGCUAAGGUCCAAUUUCAGCAGUUGCAUAGAAAGAAUGGGACAGCUGAUAUUAAGAAAGCCUGCAGGAACACUGGGUCAAAAACACCACUGGAGGAAGGCACGGAAAAGCCAAGGGGAUGAUUUUAUCAAAAAGCGAGACAGUAAAUUAGAGUUGUUGGUUUACUGACAGCCAUAGAGACCAAGUGUCACACUGUGACCUCUCUGCUCGCUGCUCGGUGCUGAUGGCCAGCUUGAGGUGUGUGUGGGGAGGUAGGCUCUAGCUCCGAGAGCAGCAGGCGUCCCCUUGGCUGGAGGUCUUUGCACAAGAGGGGACAAUUCCCACCAGCUUUACUGUCUGAAACCUGCUCGUACUUCUGCAGCCUUUCUCAGCCUUGGACUUCUGUGUAAAGCUCCAGAGAGGAAAACGACUUGUGCUUGGGGAUGAACCCAAGAGAUGAGGGAAGGUGACACUGUGGAAGACAUCCCAAAACCCCGAAUCUGCUUCUGAGGCACAAAGGAAGUCAUUCCAGAUACCUAUAGCUCACAUGGAGCAGCGGGGUUUUCUUUCACACUGUGCUUAAGGUAGAUCCUGGGAUCACCCUGUGUGAUUAACAGAGGCUCUUGCUGAUGGUUCACAAAGCUGAAGCCCUUCUUGCCCCUUCAUUUUUCCAUCUGUAAACGAAGGCCAGGGGUGUGCCUGUUUUGCCAAGUAUCUGGAAAAGGGCUUGCUACAAAAACGAGCCCAUAGUGCUGGCGGUGAAGAGGAGCUCUUGUUUAAAGGCCUGACUUGUGAGGUCUCACGGAGAAGCUGUGGAAUACAGUCAUGUUUUUGUCCCUCUAAUGUGGCUUUGUCUUUUAAAAAGUACCGUGCAGAAUGUGAGGCACAAUCGAUAAGAGUGAAUUUAAGGGCUGUUUCCUAUCCUUUGAGGAACAUCAGUAUUGGCUGAAAGAGGGAAAAAGGCUGUUGUUGAGACCUGCUUUUAUUGGAGGAAUCUGAGUGCUUUUGCUGAUAUUUCCUUUGAUAGUUUUUACCUGACUUGUUUUCAAAAUCGCGUUGAAAUUUUUCAGUCUAAAGAAGCUGUAUUUCCUCGCUGAAACUUGGGUUUGAGAUCUGGAAUGGCAUCCAAAAUGGCUUCACAAAUGGCUCGCUACAAUGUCAAAGCCUCAGAAAUAGGACAUUCCGCAGGGUAAGUCACCUGCUUACAUCUGGGAGGGCAGAGAAUUUAUUUCAAACAAUGCCAUUUGCUUUUCAAUUACAGACAUUUUUGUGGGGAAAAAAAUUGCAGCAGCCUCUAAGAAAAAGCACGUGAUCACAAUUAAAGAAUGUGUUGUGCUGUAUCAGAAGGUAGCAUUUAAAGCGGGGAAAGACUGAGUAUUGGCUAUAACUCAUUGUAAUUAUACCAUCUAUUUCAAACAUGUAAAUAUGUUUGGUAGCACUUACAUGUUUAUGUCAGCUAUUGGGAAAAGCAGUUUUCCUUUUUGGUAAACUUCUGAUGAUAAGAGUUUUGUUACUUGCAUUUGAAUAAGCAACAAACAGCAAGUUUAGGCACAUUUUUAUGACAACAGAAGUUGAUCCUCUCCCCUGUGGCUGUAGUGUGUGAAGGUUGUUUGUAAUAACAUUGUGGGUAGGAGAUGGUAACGGACAAUGAAAAAUAGACGUAUUUUAAUAGAAUACACCAUUAGGAUGUUAAAGUUGGAGCGAUGCAGAGUGUGAUGCCUGGAGUCAGGCAGCUGGGAAUCCAUUUCUGGCUCUCCCAGUCCCAGAUGAACACCAGCAAAUCCCAUCCUUUAACUGGGAAGAGCCGUAUUGAGCUCCUUUGAAAAAGGCUUUGAGAUCUGCAGAUCAAGAUGACUCUAAAAACCCAAGCACUUUGCUAAGGUCUAAUGUGUAAACCAGGCAAAAGCUUGAACGCUGAUUUAGCCUGGCAUGGUGAGUGAAGUCACGUCUCUGCUAAAAUGGAUGAGAAAACUCCCUUAGCUUCUGGGGACUGGGAUCCUUCGCCAGGGGAAAUUAUUCUGAGCCUAUUUCCUUUCCCUUUGACAUUUUCUGUCUUAUCAAAAGCCAGAUGAGUAAGGGAGAAGGAUAAUGACUAAACUGACAAAUAAACAAUCAGUUCAAAAAAAGCAACACAAUGUUUCCGAGUAAAUUUAAGAAUCUUUUCUGAGAACCUGCUAGGAAUUUCAACUCUGCCAUGUUUAAUCCAAGAGAGACCAUCCACCCAGAGCUCAGUGCACUGCCAGGGCUGUGGUGGGCUGGGGAACGGGAUGCUGGGCUUACGCAUGGAAGAAAGUAAGGAAAAUUGCAGAAGAGAGAGGAAAAUGAAUUUGGGGUACCAGCAUGGAGGGGUCUCAGUCUUCAGACCCCAGAGCUAAAGAGUCCACGGAACUGAGGCUCUCCUCACCGAAAUGGCAAUAUUUAGGGAGCCACAGGGCAGGAGAUCGGUUUUCAUCCCAUCGUGAUGUGGGUGCUGUGGAUGCUGAUGGGGAGAUGCUUUACUCACACUUGGCCUCAAUUUUCCAGGGCUUCGCUUCGCUGCGGGAACGAUGCAUUAACAACAGCUUGUUUUUCAUUUAAUAAAUAAUAGGAAUUACGUCACGACGGAGCCAAGAUUUUAAACAAGAGGCUCCCAUAAACAUUUUCUUCAGGAAUCUGUGAUAAACCAAAGACAGAGAUAGACCUACUGACAGGGAGCAGAGCCGGCAGACUUGGAGCCUGUCCAUCUGCUUCACCAUCGAAACAAAACCACUUUACAAUAACCGCAGAGGAAAGGAAGCAAUGCAGCUCGGCGUAUACACUUAUAGUAUGUGUGGUGGAAAUGUUUAUUCUUUAUUUCAGAAAGAUUUAGUGGGUGUAGAGAUAAUAGAGAAUAGCGCCUGCUGGUGUGUUGGGGAAGGAGGGGUGAUGGUGUUUGGGCUUUAAGGGAGUCCGGUGUCGGCUCCCAAGGGGAAUAUUUUCGGUAAUGCCUAUUGCAAUCUCAUGCACUUGGAAGUGGAAGAAGACAGAAGAAUGAAAUGUGCUUUUCAGGAGAGGUGUUGUAAAGGCCCCAGGAUUAGUUAUCUCUGACAGGAGGGAUUUCACAGACUCCGGUAGAUGGCAGAGAGUCCUGGCCAUGCCUGACUGCUCCUCCAAGGCUCCGUGCUGGAUGCUUGCCUGCCCUGGAGCAGCUGCUUUGGGGCAGCUUGGAGAGUGAGGUUCCUCUCCCUGUGACACACCACAGGGUUGCCUUGGGCUCAUGGGACCACCUCGGGCUCUCUGCCCCACAGACAACUCAGCUCAUCUCCACACAUGCCUACCUCAUGUGCUGAGGCAUCAAGCUGUGACUUGGGAAAUGGGGAAGGCUCAGCAGGCCACCACAUCCCACGUGCCCCAACAUCACUGGAGUGCCACUGUCUGUCCUCCUCGGACUGGCCUGUCACCACGUUUUGAUCCACCAUGCUUCCUCUCCUUGGAGUUGCUCAAGAUCAAACUCAACAGAUCCUGUACUGACCUCUGGGGAUGGGAGAGUCCCUGCCAAAUUUUGAGACAGCAUACGUCUAGACUUGGUGUUCGAGUAAGGGAGAUGACUAAGUGUCUGAAAGGUUGGACCUUCGGAGAGAAGUCCGUUGGCUCCUUGUUCCUUGGAUUAAGUUCCAUUUCCUGUGCAGCCAUGGAGAUACUGAAUAUUUUCUCCUCGUUUUUGGCCUUUUCAAAAAAAGCCAAAAAA